rnacentral:rRNA from 1 species
AGAGACAGCAGUAGCCGCGGGAAUACGAAGGGGGCUAGCGUUGCUCGGAUUGAUUGGGUGUAAAGGGUGUGCAGACGACUUAUUAAGUCACUUGUUAAAUUCUUCGGCCUAACUGAAGGUCUGCAAGUGAUACUGAUGAGCUAGAGGGUGGAAGAGAGAAGUGGAAUUCUCGGAGUAGCGGUAAAAUGCGUAGAUCUCGAGAGGAACACCAAUGGCGAAGGCAGCUUCUUGGUCCAUUCCUGACGUUCAUACACGAAAGCGUGGGGAGCAAACAGGAUUAGAUACCCCCGUAGUCCCUGUCUCUUAUAC